GACGAACGCUGGCGGCGUGCUUAACACAUGCAAGUCGAACGGAAAGGCCCUGCUUUUGUGGGGUGCUCGAGUGGCGAACGGGUGAGUAACACGUGAGUAACCUGCCCUUGACUUUGGGAUAACUUCAGGAAACUGGGGCUAAUACCGGAUAGGAGCUCCUGCUGCAUGGUGGGGGUUGGAAAGUUUCGGCGGUUGGGGAUGGACUCGCGGCUUAUCAGCUUGUUGGUGGGGUAGUGGCUUACCAAGGCUUUGACGGGUAGCCGGCCUGAGAGGGUGACCGGCCACAUUGGGACAGAGUUACGGCCCAGACUCCUACGGGAGGCAGCAGUGGGGAAUAUUGCACAAUGGGCGGAAGCCUGAUGCAGCAACGCCGCGUGCGGGAUGACGGCCUUCGGGUUGUAAACCGCUUUCGCCUGUGACGAAGCGUGAGUGACGGUAAUGGGUAAAGAAGCACCGGCUAACUACGUG
rnacentral:rRNA from 1 species